CGUAGGGUGCGAGCGUUAAUCGGAAUUACUGGGCGUAAAGCGUGCGCAGGCGGUUUUGUAAGACAGAUGUGAAAUCCCCGGGCUCAACCUGGGACCUGCAUUUGUGACUGCAAGGCUAGAGUACGGUAGAGGGGGAUGGAAUUCCGCGUGUAGCAGUGAAAUGCGUAGAUAUGCGGAGGAACACCGAUGGCGAAGGCAAUCCCCUGGACCUGUACUGACGCUCAUGCACGAAAGCGUGGGGAGCAAACAGGAUUAGAUACCCUGGUAGUCCACGCCCUAAACGAUGUCAACUGGUUGUUGGGUCUUUACUGACUCAGUAACGAAGCUAACGCGUGAAGUUCGACCGCCUGGGGAGUACGGCCGCAAGGUUG
rnacentral:rRNA from 1 species